CAGCGAAGAAGGUUGGGCAACGACCACUCCGAGCCGGAAAGUUCGUCAAACUCGGUCAUUUAGAGGAAGUAAAAGUCGUAACAAGGUUUCCGUAGGUGAACCUGCGGAAGGAUCAUUACCUAGAGUUGUAGGCUUUGCCUGCUAUCUCUUACCCAUGUCUUUUGAGUACUUACGUUUCCUCGGCGGGUCCGCCCGCCGAUUGGACAAUUUAAACCAUUUGCAGUUGCAAUCAGCGUCUGAAAAACUUUAAUAGUUACAACUUUCAACAACGGAUCUCUUGGUUCUGGCAUCGAUGAAGAACGCAGCGAAAUGCGAUAAGUAGUGUGAAUUGCAGAAUUCAGUGAAUCAUCGAAUCUUUGAACGCACAUUGCGCCCCUUGGUAUUCCAUGGGGCAUGCCUGUUCGAGCGUCAUUUGUACCUUCAAGCUUUGCUUGGUGUUGGGUGUUUGUCUCGCCUCUGCGUGUAGACUCGCCUUAAAACAAUUGGCAGCCGGCGUAUUGAUUUCGGAGCGCAGUACAUCUCGCGCUUUGCACUCAUAACGACGACGUCCAAAAGUACCUUUUUACGCUCUUGACCUCCGAUCAUGUAGGGAUAUCCGCUGGAACGUAAGUAUAUCAAUAAGCGCACGAGUCGACACCUUCAGGGUAUUGCCCUAGCACCCCCCAUGUGAAACGGCUUCCGCUCAAUAUAAAUCUGCCGUCUUUGGGCAGAACAAUUUAU
rnacentral:rRNA from 1 species